rnacentral:rRNA from 1 species
UACGUAGGGGGCAAGCGUUGUCCGGAAUCAUUGGGCGUAAAGAGCGUGUAGGCGGUCCGGUAAGUCGGCUGUGAAAGUCCAGGGCUCAACCCUGGGGAUGCCGGUCGAUACUGCCGGACUAGAGUUCGGAAGAGGCGAGUGGAAUUCCCGGUGUAGCGGUGAAAUGCGUAGAUAUCUGGAGGAACACCGGUGGCGAAGGCGGCAUCCUGGACCGGUAUUGACGCUGAGGCGCGAAAGCCAGGGGAGCAAACGGGG